UACAGAGGGUGCAAGCGUUGUUCGGAAUUAUUGGGCGUAAAGCGCGUGUAGGCGGCUUUGCAAGUCGGGUGUGAAAGCCCUCAGCUCAACUGAGGAAGUGCGCCCGAAACUGCAGAGCUUGAGUACCGGAGAGGAUGGCGGAAUUCCCCAAGUAGAGGUGAAAAUUCGUAGAUAUGGGGAGGAACACCGGUGGCGAAGGCGGCCAUCUGGACGGAUACUGACGCUGAGACGCGAAAGCGUGGGGAGCGAACAGG
rnacentral:rRNA from 1 species